AAACUUUCAACAACGGAUCUCUUGGUUCUGGCAUCGAUGAAGAACGCAGCGAAAUGCGAUAAGUAAUGUGAAUUGCAGAAUUCAGUGAAUCAUCGAGUCUUUGAACGCACAUUGCGCCCCUUGGUAUUCCGAGGGGCAUGCCUGUUCGAGCGUCAUUU
rnacentral:rRNA from 1 species